AGGGGGCUCUCGUCGGCCGCCUUUGGCGGCCCACAGAACCAGUCGGGGUAACAGGCCUCAAGCCCUCGUGUCUCCGUGGGCGACGACCCGAGCCGCAAGAGUCAUGCCCCAACGAGGGCGACCACGCGUGGGCGUGUCGGAAGUUGGGGAAAGGGCAACUGAGGGCAGGAAGUGCGGGAUGGAACACAUCCCGACCUGGGCUUGCUGCUCAUUUAAUGAGUAACUGAGUCUUUUUCACAUUUCGCAGAGGUACCCAUGUCCAGGAAGGGAAAGCCCAAGUCUGUUGCUGAUCAAAACCUGCUGUAUGCACAUCUUCCAUGUCCUUCCAGAGCAAAGAGUACUCUUUUGUCUUUCUCAUAGAUUAUUGCCUGCUAUUCUUUUCCUGAGGUGUCUUGUCUUCUUUGGGCCACAGGAAAAUGUUGAACUGGCUAGUGUGACGUGUUAAAUAAUCAUGUUUACUAACAUUUUUGUUUCGAAUAAGUAUACUGUGGAAAACUGAUUCAUGAGACAUACCUUAAUGUAAUUGCAUACUUUUAGCACGUUAAGUACAAUAUUUAGUAUAAUUGUAAAAAAGUAUGAUUUCUGAAUAAAUGUUAACUGUUAUACAUGUGAAA